rnacentral:misc_RNA from 1 species
CAUAGCAGACUCCAUUCCUCAUUCUGUGCGAAUGUACACAAAAGAGCAAGUGUUUCUUUCCAGUAUUUCAGGGACCUGGUGUUUACAAGACUCAUGAGAUCAUUGUUCACCAUUGCAGAUACAAUCUUCAAGUAAGGUGAACGGCUCAUCUUAAGGUAUUGAUCACGAGUAUUCUCCCACAGGGAAGUACCACCAACAUGAGCAAUAACUAAAGCAUCAGC